rnacentral:misc_RNA from 1 species
UCCUGGUUAACCCAGGCAGUCUCAUUAGAGUUCCCACCUUAAAUGUUGGCAACUAAUGAUAAGGGUUGCGCUCGUUGCGGGACUUAACCCAACACCUCACGGCACGAGCUGACGACAGCCAUGCAGCACCUGUGCACAGGCUCCGAAGAGCUAUUGCAUCUCUGCAAUAUUCCUGUGCAUGUCAAGCCUGGGUAAGGUUCUUCGCGUUGCAUCGAAUUAAACCACAUGCUCCACUGCUUGUGCGGGUCCCCGUCAAUUCUUUUGAGUUUUACACUUGCGUGCGUACUCCCCAGGCGGUAUACUUAUCGCGUUAGCUUCGGCACAACUGGGGUUGAGUCCAGUUACACCAAGUAUACAUCGUUUACGGCAAGGACUAC